CAAUAGUAAUUCAACCUAGUACGAGAGGAACCGUUGAUUCGCACAAUUGGUCAUUGCGCUUGGUUGAAAAGCCAGUGGCGCGAAACUACCGUGCGCUGGAUUAUGACUGAACGCCUCUAAGUCAGAAUCCGGGCUAGAAGG
rnacentral:rRNA from 1 species